CGAUGAUAAGGUAAAUCAAAGGUUUUCAUUUACGAUUGACAUUUUCAGUCAGGAUAGCUCAAUUGCGGCUUUCAACUCGUAAGCACGAGAUCGAAUAGUAUUCGUCGUACCUUGUUUCUAAGUCUCCAACCCUUUCCUUGGUUCUCCGAAUCGUACGUUACUAUCAGCCCAAAACCCUGGUUGGCUGGCGUCCGGGCCUAUCGGCAGAGAGACAAGCUCUUGUGUGUUGAUCAAAAAGUAUAGAGAUUCCAUGCCUUAUACAAACAAAUAGCAUAUAACCUAGAAGAUUUUGUGACUACGAGUUGCGAUCGAUAAAGCGGCGGAGCCGGGGUAAUGGCUAUGGCUGCGUGCAACGCCCUAGUGGGGCCGGUAAGACCAUAUAUCACUGCUUAAUAUCUAUUUUAAGGCAUGGGUUUGAAGGGGUCGUGGGCGAUUCCCCAAAAGGUGUGGAAAGUCAGUUAUAUGCUCGAUUUGUUAACGAAAAAGAGAUCUUCUCUCGAAAAAAGAAAUAGAAACAAUCUUGGUCAAGAGUGAGCUACGCUAUACCCGUGCGAAGGAAGAACGGACGUCACUCAUAAACUGCUUCCACAAUGGAACCGUCCCGAGACAAUAGGUUCUCGUCUUGAACAUAAAGAGGGCAGGCAAGAAGAACCUCCACCAAGUUUUUGAUUCUUGGUGAUUUGACGGUAUCAAUGUCCCUCUCCCUUUUUGAGGACUGGGAUGGCGUCCUUUCCCCGGCAAGGUGUCUACUAGGGGGCCGAAGUCAACCCGUCUUC
rnacentral:lncRNA from 1 species